CAGAUUUUCUGUAAUUAAGGAGAUGGUGACAAAAGAUUAUCAAAAUUUCAAGUUCCAACAACCUUAUCAGCAGGCUAUGUAUUACUGCUCAUUGAUUUUACAUGACCAAGCAUUGCCAUGGACUGAGCAACUUGAAGUUCUUCCACAUCUUCAAGUUGACAACCUUCUUAAAUUUUAUCCACAGAUGCUAUCAAGGACCUUCUUGGAAUGCUAUAUUGCAGGAAAUAUUGAACCAAAGGAACCAGAAUCGAUCAUACAACACAUUGAAGAUGUCUUUUACAAGGGUCCCCAGCCUUUAUCCUUGGUUUUUUUUUGCAUCUCAGCAUUUGUCUACUAGAGUUGUCAAGCUUGUAAGGGGCUUAAAUUACUCCUAUAAUGCAGAAGGUCUUAAUCCAAGUGAUGAAAAUUCU